rnacentral:rRNA from 1 species
AUUGAACGCUGGCGGCAGGCCUAACACAUGCAAGUCGAACGAGUGGCGGACGGGUGAGUAAUGUCUGGGAAACUGCCUGAUGGAGGGGGAUAACUACUGGAAACGGUAGCUAAUACCGCAUACUAUCGUAUGUGCCCAGAUGGGAUUAGCUAGUAGGUGGGGUAACGGCUCACCUAGGCGACGCUCCCUAGCUGGUCUGAGAGGAUGACCAGCCACACUGGAACUGAGACACGGUCAAGACGCCUACGUGAGGCAGCAGUGGGGAAUAUUGCACAAUGGGCGAAAGCCUGAUGCAGCCAUGCCGCGUGUAUGAAGAAGGCCUUCGGGUUGUAAAGUACUUUCAGCGGGGAGGCGUUACCCGCAGAAGAAGCACCGGCUAACUCCGUGCCAGCAGCCGCGGUAAUUC